UGGGGACUGAUAGAAGGUACACAUAGAACGUCACAGUGUGGGGACUGAUAGAAGGUACACAUAGAACGUCACAGUAUGGGCACUGAUAGAAGGUACACAUAGAACGUCACAGUGUGGGGACUGAUAGAAGGUACACAUAGAACGUCAGUGUGGUCACUGAUAGAAGGUACACAUAGAAGUCACUGUGUGGGUACUGACAAAAGGUACACAUAGAACAUCACAGUGUGGGCACUGAUAGAAGGUACACAUAGAACGUUAGUGUGGGCACUGAUAGAAGGUACACAUAGAACGUUA